GGGCGCGUAGUGUAAUGGCAUAACACACGCACUUGUGAACUUGUGACGAGACCCGUGGUUCGACUCCCGGCGUGUCCA